AGUUGGAAACGACUGUUAAUACCGCAUAAUAUCUGUGGAUUAAAGGUGGCUUUCGGGCUGUCGCAGAUGGAUGAGCCUGCGUUGGAUUAGCUAGUUGGUGGGGUAAGGGCCCACCAAGGCUACGAUCCAUAGCUGAUUUGAGAGGAUGAUCAGCCACAUUGGGACUGAGACACGGCCCAAACUCCUACGGGAGGCAGCAGUGGGGAAUAUUAGACAAUGGGGGCAACCCUGAUCCAGCAAUGCCAUGUGUGUGAAGAAGGCCCUAGGGUUGUAAAGCACUUUAGUUGGGGAGGAAAGCCUCAAGGUUAAUAGCCUUGAGGGAGGACGUUACCCAAAGAAUAAGCACCGGCUAACUCCGUGCCAGCAGCCGCGGUAAUACGGGGGGUGCAAGCGUUAAUCGGAAUUACUGGGCGUAAAGGGUCUGUAGGUGGUUUGUUAAGUCAGAUGUGAAAGCCCAGGGCUCAACCUUGGAACUGCAUUUGAUACUGGCAAACUAGAGUACGGUAGAGGAAUGGGGAAUUUCUGGUGUAGCGGUGAAAUGCGUAGAGAUCAGAAGGAACACCAAUGGCGAAGGCAACAUUCUGGACCGAUACUGACACUGAGGGACGAAAGCGUGGGGAUCAAACAGGAUUAGAUACCCUGGUAGUCCACGCUGUAAACGAUGAGUACUAGCUGUUGGAGUCGGUGUAAAGGCUCUAGUGGCGCAGCUAACGCGAUAAGUACUCCGCCUGGGGACUACGGCCGCAAGGCUAAAACUCAAAGGAAUUGACGGGGACCCGCACACGCGGUGGAGCAUGUGGUUUAAUUCGAUGCAACGCGAAGAACCUUACCUGGUCUUGACAUCCUGCGAACUUUCUAGAGAUAGAUUGGUGCCUUCGGGAACGCAGUGACAGGUGCUGCACGGCUGUCGUCAGCUCGUGUUGUGAAAUGUUGGGUUAAGUCCCGCAACGAGCGCAACCCCUAUUGAUAGUUACCAUCAUUAAGUUGGGUACUCUAUUGAGACUGCCGCUGACAAGGCGGAGGAAGGUGGGGACGACGUCAAGUCAUCAUGGCCCUUACGACCAGGGCUACACACGUGCUACAAUGGGUAUUACAGAGGGCUGCGAAGGUGCGAGCUGGAGCGAA
rnacentral:rRNA from 1 species